rnacentral:rRNA from 1 species
GUGGGGAAUAUUGGGCAAUGGGCGCAAGCCUGACCCAGCAACGCCGCGUGAGGGAAGAAGGCUUUCGGGUUGUAAACCUCUGUCCUUGGUGACGAAGAAAGUGACGGUAGCCAAGGAGGAAGCCCCGGCUAACUACGUGCCAGCAGCCGCGGUAAUACGUAGGGGGCGAGCGUUGUCCGGAAUUACUGGGCGUAAAGGGUGCGUAGGUGGCCUUUUAAGUUGGAUGUGAAAUACCCGGGCUUAACUUGGGGGGUGCAUCUAAUACUGGGAGGCUAGAGUGCAGGAGAGGGAAGCGGAAUUCCUAGUGUAGCGGUGAAAUGCGUAGAUAUUAGGAGGAACACCAGUGGCGAAGGCGGCUUUCUGGACUGUAACUGACACUGAGGCACGAAAGCGUGGGGAGCAAACAGGAUUAGAUACCCGGGUAGUCC